rnacentral:rRNA from 1 species
UACAGAGGUCUCAAGCGUUGUUCGGAUUCAUUGGGCGUAAAGGGUGCGUAGGUGGCGAGGCAAGUCAGAUGUGAAAUCCCUGGGCUCAACCUAGGAACUGCACCUGAAACUGCCCAUCUGGAGUAGUGGAGAGGAGACUGGAAUUCAUGGUGUAGCAGUGAAAUGCGUAGAGAUCAUGAGGAAGACCAGUGGCGAAGGCGGGUCGCUGGACAGUUCCUGACACUGAGACACGAAGGCCAGGGGAGCAAACGGG